rnacentral:rRNA from 1 species
GGUUAAGCGACUAAGCGUACACGGUGGAUGCCCUGGCAGUCAGAGGCGAUGAAGGACGUGCUAAUCUGCGAUAAGCGUCGGUAAGGUGAUAUGAACCGUUAUAACCGGCGAUUUCCGAAUGGGGAAACCCAGUGUGUUUCGACACACUAUCAUUAACUGAAUCCAUAGGUUAAUGAGGCGAACCGGGGGAACUGAAACAUCUAAGUACCCCGAGGAAAAGAAAUCAACCGAGAUUCCCCCAGUAGCGGCGAGCGAACGGGGAGCAGCCCAGAGCCUGAAUCAGUGUGUGUGUUAGUGGAAGCGUCUGGAAAGGCGCGCGAUACAGGGUGACAGCCCCGUACACAAAAAUGCACAUGCUGUGAGCUCGAUGAGUAGGGCGGGACACGUGGUAUCCUGUCUGAAUAUGGGGGGACCAUCCUCCAAGGCUAAAUACUCCUGACUGACCGAUAGUGAACCAGUACCGUGAGGGAAAGGCGAAAAGAACCCCGGCGAGGGGAGUGAAAAAGAACCUGAAACCGUGUACGUACAAGCAGUGGGAGCACGCUUAGGCGUGUGACUGCGUACCUUUUGUAUAAUGGGUCAGCGACUUAUAUUCUGUAGCAAGGUUAACCGAAUAGGGGAGCCGAAGGGAAACCGAGUCUUAACUGGGCGUUAAGUUGCAGGGUAUAGACCCGAAACCCGGUGAUCUAGCCAUGGGCAGGUUGAAGGUUGGGUAACACUAACUGGAGGACCGAACCGACUAAUGUUGAAAAAUUAGCGGAUGACUUGUGGCUGGGGGUGAAAGGCCAAUCAAACCGGGAGAUAGCUGGUUCUCCCCGAAAGCUAUUUAGGUAGCGCCUCGUGAAUUCAUCUCCGGGGGUAGAGCACUGUUUCGGCAAGGGGGUCAUCCCGACUUACCAACCCGAUGCAAACUGCGAAUACCGGAGAAUGUUAUCACGGGAGACACACGGCGGGUGCUAACGUCCGUCGUGAAGAGGGAAACAACCCAGACCGCCAGCUAAGGUCCCAAAGUCAUGGUUAAGUGGGAAACGAUGUGGGAAGGCCCAGACAGCCAGGAUGUUGGCUUAGAAGCAGCCAUCAUUUAAAGAAAGCGUAAUAGCUCACUGGUCGAGUCGGCCUGCGCGGAAGAUGUAACGGGGCUAAACCAUGCACCGAAGCUGCGGCAGCGACACUAUGUGUUGUUGGGUAGGGGAGCGUUCUGUAAGCCUGUGAAGGUGUGCUGUGAGGCAUGCUGGAGGUAUCAGAAGUGCGAAUGCUGACAUAAGUAACGAUAAAGCGGGUGAAAAGCCCGCUCGCCGGAAGACCAAGGGUUCCUGUCCAACGUUAAUCGGGGCAGGGUGAGUCGACCCCUAAGGCGAGGCCGAAAGGCGUAGUCGAUGGGAAACAGGUUAAUAUUCCUGUACUUGGUGUUACUGCGAAGGGGGGACGGAGAAGGCUAUGUUGGCCGGGCGACGGUUGUCCCGGUUUAAGCGUGUAGGCUGGUUUUCCAGGCAAAUCCGGAAAAUCAAGGCUGAGGCGUGAUGACGAGGCACUACGGUGCUGAAGCAACAAAUGCCCUGCUUCCAGGAAAAGCCUCUAAGCAUCAGGUAACAUCAAAUCGUACCCCAAACCGACACAGGUGGUCAGGUAGAGAAUACCAAGGCGCUUGAGAGAACUCGGGUGAAGGAACUAGGCAAAAUGGUGCCGUAACUUCGGGAGAAGGCACGCUGAUAUGUAGGUGAGGUCCCUCGCGGAUGGAGCUGAAAUCAGUCGAAGAUACCAGCUGGCUGCAACUGUUUAUUAAAAACACAGCACUGUGCAAACACGAAAGUGGACGUAUACGGUGUGACGCCUGCCCGGUGCCGGAAGGUUAAUUGAUGGGGUUAGCGCAAGCGAAGCUCUUGAUCGAAGCCCCGGUAAACGGCGGCCGUAACUAUAACGGUCCUAAGGUAGCGAAAUUCCUUGUCGGGUAAGUUCCGACCUGCACGAAUGGCGUAAUGAUGGCCAGGCUGUCUCCACCCGAGACUCAGUGAAAUUGAACUCGCUGUGAAGAUGCAGUGUACCCGCGGCAAGACGGAAAGACCCCGUGAACCUUUACUAUAGCUUGACACUGAACAUUGAGCCUUGAUGUGUAGGAUAGGUGGGAGGCUUUGAAGUGUGGACGCCAGUCUGCAUGGAGCCGACCUUGAAAUACCACCCUUUAAUGUUUGAUGUUCUAACGUUGACCCGUAAUCCGGGUUGCGGACAGUGUCUGGUGGGUAGUUUGACUGGGGCGGUCUCCUCCUAAAGAGUAACGGAGGAGCACGAAGGUUGGCUAAUCCUGGUCGGACAUCAGGAGGUUAGUGCAAUGGCAUAAGCCAGCUUGACUGCGAGCGUGACGGCGCGAGCAGGUGCGAAAGCAGGUCAUAGUGAUCCGGUGGUUCUGAAUGGAAGGGCCAUCGCUCAACGGAUAAAAGGUACUCCGGGGAUAACAGGCUGAUACCGCCCAAGAGUUCAUAUCGACGGCGGUGUUUGGCACCUCGAUGUCGGCUCAUCACAUCCUGGGGCUGAAGUAGGUCCCAAGGGUAUGGCUGUUCGCCAUUUAAAGUGGUACGCGAGCUGGGUUUAGAACGUCGUGAGACAGUUCGGUCCCUAUCUGCCGUGGGCGCUGGAGAACUGAGGGGGGCUGCUCCUAGUACGAGAGGACCGGAGUGGACGCAUCACUGGUGUUCGGGUUGUCAUGCCAAUGGCACUGCCCGGUAGCUAAAUGCGGAAGAGAUAAGUGCUGAAAGCAUCUAAGCACGAAACUUGCCCCGAGAUGAGUUCUCCCUGACCCUUUAAGGGUCCUGAAGGAACGUUGAAGACGACGACGUUGAUAGGCCGGGUGUGUAAGCGCAGCGAUGCGUUGAGCUAACCGGUACUAAUGAACCGUGAGGCUUAACCUU